rnacentral:tRNA from 1 species
GCUCUGAUAGCUCAGUUGGAUAGAGCACACGACUGUUAAUCGUGGGGUCGGAGGUUCGAUCCCUCCUCAGAGCG